rnacentral:rRNA from 1 species
AUUGAACGCUGGCGGCAUGCCUUACACAUGCAAGUCGAACGGCAGCAUAGGAGCUUGCUCCUGAUGGCGAGUGGCGAACGGGUGAGUAAUAUAUCGGAACGUGCCCUAGAGUGGGGGAUAACUAGUCGAAAGACUAGCUAAUACCGCAUACGAUCUACGGAUGAAAGUGGGGGAUCGCAAGACCUCAUGCUCCUGGAGCGGCCGAUAUCUGAUUAGCUAGUUGGUGGGGUAAAAGCCUACCAAGGCGACGAUCAGUAGCUGGUCUGAGAGGACGGCCAGCCACACUGGGACUGAGACACGGCCCAGAGUCCUACGGGAGGCAGCAGUGGGGAAUUUUGGACAAUGGGGGCAACCCUGAUCCAGCAAUGCCGCGUGAGUGAAGAAGGCCUUCGGGUUGUAAAGCUCUUUUGUCAGGGAAGAAACGGUAGUAGCUAAUAUCUAUUACUAAUGACGGUACCUGAAGAAUAAGCACCGGCUAACUACGUGCCAGCCGCCGCCGUAA